rnacentral:sRNA from 1 species
CUCCAAAAAAAAAAAAAAAAAAGACGUUUCUCAAGAAAUUAUCUUGUCUUGGCCAGGCUUGAGUGCUCAUGCUAGUAAUACCAGCGCUUUGGGAGGCCAAGGUGGGAGGAUUGCAUGAGCCAGGAGUUGAAACCAGCUUGAUCAACAAGAGACUGACGCCAUCUCUACCAAAAAAAAAAAUUUAAAACAGGUGUGGUGGUACACGCUUGUAGUCCCAGCUUCUUGGAGGCUGAGGCAGGAGGCUUGCUUGAGCCCGGGGGUUUGAGGCUGCAGUGAGCCAUGAUGAUGCCACUGUACUCCAGCCUGGGUAACAGAGCGAGACUCUUGUCUUGAAAACAAGGAAAGAAAUUAUCUUACAGAGUCUCGAAGAGAGAUACGGCAGUGUCUUCCAAUAGUAUGGGAAGCGUCCCUGUUUUAGGGCUUCAGUCUGACUCUUGGCCAUUGUUUCUCACUGUUGCCAUUUCAAACAGGGCAUUUCUUUACUGUCCAUACAUGGGAAGAAUUUUGAACAUCCGAGACCCUAAGUAUCCGAGACUGCUGCCAACACACACACACACCUUCCUCCCGUCGUCUCCCUCCCUGUCAUCGUGGCAACCAAAAUUAUCCAUAGGGUGACGGACAAUACCACCUCUGAUUAAGAACCAGUAUUCUAGGGUUUCUGGGGUUUCCAUUUCUGAGAACAGUUCCAUGCCAGAGCAUUGUUUUGGUCAAGGAAGCGUGGGUUUAUGGAUGCUAAACAGUGGGAAGGUGCACACGCAGUGUGCCGUCCCGCUUGGAUCUGACGAAUCUUGGAAGUGUUAGUGCACCUCCGUUUCACACUUCUGUAGAAGCAGCUCUUGUGGAUUGUCUGGGGCGUGAGUAUAGGCUGUCCUGUCCUACCAAGUUACACCCUUUCCAUUGAGGCAGAAGUGACCAAGGGGAAGGGAUCCUUGUAAUAUAACCCACACCAUCCCCACAGUGUGAACGUGGCAUCACUGACACAAUCAGAAAUUCGAGACAUCAUCCUGGGUAUGGAGAUCUCGGCACCGUCACAGCAGCGGCAGCAGAUCGCUGAGAUCGAGAAGCAGACCAAGGAACAAUCGCAGCUGACGGCAACACAGACUCGCACUGUCAACAAGCAUGGCGAUGAGAUCAUCACCUCCACCACCAGCAACUAUGAGACCCAGACUUUCUCAUCCAAGACUGAGUGGAGGGUCAGGGCCAUCUCUGCUGCCAACCUGCACCUAAGGACCAAUCACAUCUAUGUUUCAUCUGACGACAUCAAGGAGACUGGCUACACCUACAUCCUUCCCAAGAAUGUGCUUAAGAAGUUCAUCUGCAUAUCUGACCUUCGGGCCCAAGUGAGUAAGUGGACUCAGCUAGGCCACAGUGUGUGCCCAACACAUUUUGUGCCUAAAACUCAGACCUGAGAUUGUCUGGAACUUGAGAUGCUGGUUUCAAGAUUCAUGGAUGAGUAAUUAUACAAGGAUAGCCAAAACAACGAGGUGGGUUUUGGCCCCAUGAGAUAGCAAAAGCUGUGGCAGCUGAGAGAAGGUAGUAAUUGUAGUAUUGGCCUGAUAGUAUUUGGAAGAGAACAGAUAUGGUCAGAAACAAAUUCCUGACCAGGUGUGCGUGCUGGCUCAUGCCUGUAAUCCCAACACUCGGCUGGGCGCAGUGGCUAAUGCCUAUAGUCCCAGCACUUUGGGAGGCCGAGGUGGGUGGAUCACCUGAGGUCAGGGGUUUGAGACCAGCCUGACCAAUAUGGUGAAACCCUGUCUCUACUAAAAAUACAAAAAAUUAGCCAGGCAUGGUGGCAUGCGCCCGUAGUUGCAGCUACUAGGGAGGUUGAGACAGGAGAAUUGCUUGAACCCGGGAGGUGAGGUGGAGCUUGCAGUGAGCCAAGAUUGCGUCACUGCACUCCAGCCUGGGCAACAGAGCAAGACCCCGUCUAAAAAAACAAAACAAAAAAAAACAUGGCUGUAGUCCCAGCUACUCAGGAGGCUGAGGUUGCUUGAACGCAAGCAGUGAGCUUUGAUGACCCCACUGCACUCCAGGCUGGGCACAGUGGCUCAUGACUGUAAUCCCAGCACUGUGGGAGGCCGAGGUGGGCAGAUCUUUUGAGCCCAGGAGUUCGAGACCAGCCUGGGCAACAUGAUGAAAUGGUGUCUCUAC